rnacentral:rRNA from 1 species
GUUGGUGGGGUAGAAGCCUACCAAGGCAACGAUCAGUAGCCGGCCUGAGAGGGUGGACGGCCACACUGGGACUGAGACACGGCCCAGACUCCUACGGGAGGCAGCAGUGGGGAAUAUUGCGCAAUGGGGGAAACCCUGACGCAGCGACGCCGCGUGAGCGAAGAAGGCCUUAGGGUCGUAAAGCUCUGUUGUAAGGGACGAAUGUUUAUCUGGCGAACAGUCAGAUAAAGUGACGGUACCUUACCAGCAAGCCCCGGCUAACUACGUGCCAGCAGCCGCGGUAAGACGUAGGGGGCGAGCGUUGUCCGGAAUUACUGGGCGUAAAGAGCACGUAGGCGGGUAAUUAAGUCAGAUGUGAAAGACCGGGGCCCAACCUCGGGGUUGCAUCUGAAACUGGUUAUCUUGAGGGCAGGAGAGGAAAGUGGAAUUCCUGGUGUAGCGGUGAAAUGCGUAGAAAUCAGGAGGAAUACCAGUGGCGAAGGCGGCUUUCUGGACUGACCCUGACGCUGAGGUGCGAAAGCGUGGGUAGCAAACAGGAUUAGAUACCCUGGUAGUCCACGCUGUAAACGAUGGAUACUAGGUGUGGGAGGUAUCGACCCCUUCCGUGCCGGAGCUAACGCAAUAA